GAUUCCACCGCGAGUUGCAGUUGGACCGGCCGAAGUUGACCGAACUUGAUGAUUUAGAGGAAGUAAAAGUCGUAACAAGGUUUCCGUAGGUGAACCUGCGGAAGGAUCAUUACCGGGAUAUCGGGAUAUCAUACGUGUGCGUCGCCCGCCGCGACGACGUUGGCCGACCGGGAAAACUACACCAUGCCACGCGGACCCUGCCGUGCCGACGACGCCCACGGGCGGAGGCGCGGCGGCGGGUCGAGGUGGACGGUUGUGCGCAAACGCGUGCUGGGCGCGGCUUCGCGCCGCCCUUGGGCGCUGGACCCGGGACGCCUGCUACGCGAGCGAGCGAGCCAGGGAGAUACCGUUGAGUCGAGCAUAUGUCGUGCAAGCCCCCGCGGGAAACCGCACCAACACACGCCCCCAGAGCACGGCUGGGUGGUAGCGCGAGGUCUAGCGUAGCCUCGCGCCAGGGCAAGUCCGAUCCGUUCGCCGCGUGCACACCGACACACGAGCAUGCACGUUCUGUUGCCGAGGGUUAGCGUAUACCUCCUAGGGCAAGUCCGAUGUUCUAGGCGCGAGCCACGUACGCGAUCGCCCGGAGAACUCUCCUACCACCCACACAGUCGCAGCACGCCACUGCGGCUUCGCAGCCAACGGUAAUAGCCCCUGUAUUCGGUAGCGAGGGGUCGCUCUUGGGCGACCGCAUUCGUGUACGGUGGUGGUGCCGCCCCGCCCAACCAAGGUGUAAAAGGUCAAGCAUGCGUGUGGCGCGGCGACCAGCAGAGAGCGAGAAAGUAGCGUAUAUUAAGCCGGGGCCGGGGCCGGCAGCGCAGCAAACGAGCAGCAGCGAGAGCGAGUAGAGCAUCAUCCCCGCGUUGUGUGUAGAGCGAGUUGAAAUAUGGUGUCCAGCACACCAGGUGUCCAAAGGUCAGAGCAAUCGGUGUCCAAAGGUCAGAGCAAUCGGUGUCCAAAGGUCAGAAAUCGGUGUCCAAAGGUCAGAAAUCGGUGUCCAAAGGUGUGAAAUAUUUUCGGUGCAAGUCGGGGAUCGCUUUACAACGCUCGUCUAUACUGCUCUCUCGGUUGCUGUGCUGGUACGGCCCCACUAUUCGGGGGCACCGCUCACACUCCAGGUCGCCAGACCUUGGGGAGCGUCGGUGCCGCGGUGCGUCCGCGCGCGCGUGGUUGGUGCUUGACUGCUCUCGACUCAAGCGGCGGAUCCGGGCGAAUGGAACGCGGGCGGUGGUGAAGUGGCCCGCGGGUGCGCCUUGCGGCACCCGAAACGCGCUUCAAAAAGCCAAACAUUAGGAACACCCACUCUA
rnacentral:rRNA from 1 species